UACAGGGGGGGCAAGCGUUGUUCGGAAUUACUGGGCGUAAAGGGCUCGUAGGCGGCCAACUAAGUCAGACGUGAAAUCCCUCAGCUUAACUGGGGAACUGCGUCUGAUACUGGAUGGCUUGAGUUUGGGAGAGGGAUGCGGAAUUCCAGGUGUAGCGGUGAAAUGCGUAGAUAUCUGGAGGAACACCGGUGGCGAAGGCGGCAUCCUGGACCAACACUGACACUGAUGAGCGAAAGCCAGGGGAGCAAACGGG
rnacentral:rRNA from 1 species